GGUGGUGCAUGGCCGUUCUUAGUUGGUGGAGUGAUUUGUCUGGUUAAUUCCGAUAACGAACGAGACCUUAACCUGCUAAUUAGUCGUCCUCAUUUUAUGGGGUAUGACUUCUUAGAGGGACUAUGCAUAUCAAGUGCAUGGAAGUUUGAGGCAAUAACAGGUCAGUGAUGCCCUUAUAUGUCCUGGGCUGCACGCGUGCUACACUGAUGCAUACAACGAGUGCCUAACCAGACAUGGUAUGGUAAUCUCUAAUAUGCAUCGUGAUGGGGAUAGAUCUUUGCAAUUA
rnacentral:rRNA from 1 species